rnacentral:tRNA from 1 species
AAUAUCAUUACUCAUACUGAAACUUACAAAGUCAUCUUUUUGAAAAUCGACGAAAUUCCCCGGCUUUGAUAUCUACUUUUGUCCUUUUAAUUGACAUAGACCCCAGUUCUCUAAUAAAAUGAGGAUACUACAUUGGGAAU